UACGUAGGGGGCAAGCGUUGUCCGGAAUCAUUGGGCGUAAAGCGCGUGUAGGCGGCUCGGUAAGUCCGCUCUGAAAGUCCAAGGCUCAACCUUGGGAUGCGGGUGGAUACUGCCGGGCUCGAGUCCGGAAGAGGCGAGUGGAAUUCCCAGUGUAGCGGUGAAAUGCGUAGAUAUUGGGAGGAACACCAGUGGCGAAGGCGGCUCACUGGACCGGUACUGACGCUGAGGCGCGAAAGCGUGGGGAGCGAACAGG
rnacentral:rRNA from 1 species